rnacentral:tRNA from 1 species
UCUUCUCUAGGUUAAUAAUAAACUAUUGGCUUGUGGAGCCAGGGAUCUAUGUUAGGAGGGGAA